AUACGUAGGGGACGAGCGUUGUCCGGAAUUACUGGGCGUAAAGGGCGCGCAGGCGGAUAUUUAAGUCAGCUGUAAAAGGCAUGAGCUCAACUCAUGUAUGCGGUUGAAACUGGGUAUCUAGAGUGCUGGAGAGGUAGGCGGAAUUCCCGGUGUAGCGGUGAAAUGCGUCGAUAUCGGGAAGAACACCAGUGGCAAAGGCGGCUUUCUGGUAGGCAACGGGCGCCUGGGCGCGAAAGCCAGGGGAGCGAAAGGGAUUUACUACCCCGGUAGUCCGUGCCGUAAACGAUGAAUGCUAGGUGUUGGUGUUGCGAGGCAUCCGUGCCGGAGCUAACGCGAUUAGCAUUCCGGCUGGGGAGUACGAUCGCAAGAUUGAUACUCAAAUGAAUUGUCGGGG
rnacentral:rRNA from 1 species